CCAGGAGCUGCAGAGCAUUCCCUACCUCACACUUUUAUCUGGAGGCAUCUGGAAACUCUGAACUAAUACACACGGCAUCCAAAGCAGUUUAUAUAUGCCGCAUGUCCCAGGAGCGGGGCAGAUGUGCACUCAUUCCGCUGGCAAGGAUUAAAUUAAAAACCUCUUUGCUCAUUUCGAGCCUCUCCAGGCAGAGCACACUGCCACCUCCCAACGACUCCGGGAGGAUUUUGGGCAGCCAGGAGCCAUCUGCAUGGCGAGGUGCUGCCAGGCAGAGCUACCUUUCCAUCCCAAAUUGACCGGCACCCACUCCUAAACCCAUGCAAAGCAGAAGCCUCACCAGCAGUCACACUGGUGCAGCAGCAGUGCUGGUGAUGCCCUGUCUACUCGUCCUCUCAGUGCCCAUCCCAGGUGCAAAUCAAGGAGCGAAGCGGAAUAUCUGCUCUGGAGGUGACUUGAGCAAGAGGCAGCACACAGGGGGCUUGACAUGGCAACCUGUAAUCAUCAGAGGCCGGCCAGGCAAGCCGCAAAGGUGAGGCAAAUAGCCUUGGAGUAGUGAAGCAGCAUGCCGACGGGCCAUCUGUGAAGAUGAGCUGGGUGUCAGCCAGGCUGGUGUCUAAGAGAAAGUUACCUGAGGGAACUCAGUGAAGCAUUUAUCUUUUGGGUUCCACAAACAAGGACGGUCUCAGCAUCUGAUUCUGGAAUGAGCAGAUUAUAAGGAACCUGGCAACUGCCAGAACGUCCCAGUGAGCUGAUGUGAUGGCUGUGUUGAGGAUGGCUGCAGACCCCUGGCCAUCUGAAAGCUAAGUUGAAGGGCUGGGAGGAGGGGACAAGGUUGGGGAUCGCAAGGAGGGGUUUUAAAGUUGGUGUAGGUGAGAGGGUUGACAGGGCACAGUCCCCUUGGGGCAGGUUAAGGGAGCAGGUUACUCUUCAGCACAAUGUCAGCGUGUACAGGGCAGGGCAGCUCUAACCUGUGUCUGGUGUGUACUUCGUGUCGUCUGUUUUCUGUCUUAGGCUGUAUGUUCUUUGGGUCUUGAUGCCUCAGUAGCUCUUGGUGAUCAGCAGGCACCUUGGUAGCGCUCCAAGGAGUCCAGAAUGUGUCACUUCAACAGAGCCUGUUGAGCCCUUCUCAUCUCGCAGUUACAGCUUAACACGUGGAUCUCUUUGGUUCCACACUUCAGAGACAAAAAGCCUCAUCAAACUCUGCUGCAAAAACUCCAUAGAGCAAAGGAAAACUUUCUAUGUAUCUCCUACCAUGCCUUUCCAAACAGAAUCCCAGAGUGCUGGGGUUGGAAGGGACCUCUAGAGAUCACACAGUCCAAGCCCCUGCUAGAGCAGGAUCCCCUACAGUAGGUUCCACAGGAACACGUCCAGCUGGCUUUGGAAUGUCUCCAAAGAAGGAGACUCCACAACCUCUCUGGGCAGCCUGUCCCAGGUCUCUGUCACCCUUACAGGAAAGAAGUUCCUCAUGUUCAGUUUGACUCUCCUGGGCUCCAGCUUGUGCCCAUUGCCCCUUGUGCUCUCACUGGACAGCACUGAGAAGAGUCUGGUCCCCCCCUCCUCCCACCCCCUCUAGAUAUUGACCAGCACUCAUGAGAUCCCCACUCAGUCUCCUCCUCUCCACAUGAACAGCCCCAGCUCUCCCAGCCUUUCCUCACCAGCAGAUGCUCCAGUCCCUUCAGCAUCUCUGUGGACCAGGGCUGGGCUCUCUCCAGUAGCUCCUUGUCCCUCCUGCACUGGGAGCCCAGAACCAUACACGGUUCUCCAGAUGGGGCCUCACCAGGGCAGAGGGGCAGAACAACCUCCCUGACCUGCUGGCCACACUCUUCUUCAUGCCCUCAGGAUGGCACUGGUCUGGUGGCCAGAAAGGCAGCCUUUUCACCUUUUUAGCAGGCAAAUCUAAGUUUAGCAGGUGAGGUGCUGCUCAGCUGUAAACAAUAAUUUCAUUAAAAGGUCCAGAACUAACCCAGCUGAGUUUGGACUUACUGGCCUUUCCCAAUUAGCCAAUUGCUUUGCUGCUCCCAGUUUAUCAGCUUAAGGGUCUACGCUUAAGGGUCUAGAUUCUGGACUUAAGCACCCAGGGUCACGGAUUUAAAGAGUCUAAUGUCUAGGAAUAUGGGCCAAGCAUUUAGAGACUAGGUUUAACUUUCUAGAGUAAAAUGUCAAGAGCAAACAGUCUAGGGUUAAGGCUCUAGGUCUACGGUUUAGUAUAUAGGAUCAAGGGUCCAGUGCCCAGGGUUUAUGAUGUAGGCUUAAGGGUCUAGGGUUAAGGCUUUUGAGUCUGGGGAUACGUGCCCAGGGUUAAGGGUCUAGCAUCUAGGCUUUAGUAUCUAGGAUUAAGGGUCCAGUGUCCAGUGUACAAUGUCUAGAGUCUAGUAUCUAGGUUUUAGGCUGUAGGUUUAAGGGUCUAGAAUUAAGGGUCUAGGGUCUGGAGUUCAGUGCCCAGGGUCAAGGGUCUAGCAUCUAGGGUUUAAUAUCUUGGAUUAAUGGUCCAGUGUCCAGUGUCUAGAGUUUAUGAUGUAGGCUUAAGGGUCUAGAGUUAAGGGUUUCGAGUCUGGAGUUAAGUGACCAGGGUCAACGGUCCAGUGUCAUCUCGGAUUUAGUGUCUACGGUUUACACUGUAGGCUUAAGUGUCUAGAGUCUAGUAUCUAGGUUUUAGGCUGUAGGCUUAAGGGUCUAGAGAUAAGAGUCAAGGGUCUGGAGUUCAGUGCCUAGGGUCAAGGCUCUAGUGUCUAGGGUCCAGUAUCUAGGGUUUAGGCUGUAGGCUUAAGGGUCUGGAGUCAAGGGUCGAGGGUUUGGAGUUAAGUACCCAGGGUCAAGGGUCCAGCAUCUAGGGUUUAGUAUCUUGGAUUAAUGGUCUAGUGUCUAGUGUCCUGUAUCUAGAGUCUAGUGUCUAGGUUUUAGGCUGUAGGCUUAAAGGUCUAGAGUUAUGGGUCUAGGGUCUGGAGUUAAGUGCCCAGGGUCAAGGGUCAAGCAUCUAGGUUUUAAUAUCUAGGAUUAAGGGUCCAGUAUCUAAGGUUUAGGCUGUAGGCUUAAGGGUCUAGGGUCAGGUGUUAAGUGCCCAGGGUCAAGGGUCCAGCAUCUAGGGUUUAGUAUCUAGGAUUAAUGGUCCAGUGUCUAGCGUUUAUGAUGUUGGCUUAAGAGUCUAGGGUUAAGGGUUUCGAGUCUAGAAAUAAGGGACCAGGUUUAACAGUCCAGUGUCAAUGGUCCAGUUUCUAGGGUGUAGUGUCUAGGGUUUAGACCGUAGGCUUAAGGGUCUAGAGUUAGGUGUCUGGGGUCUGGAGUUUAGUGCCCAGGGUCAAGGGUUUAGCAUUUAGGGUUUAGUAUCUAGGAUUAAAGGUCUAGGGUCCAGUGUCUAGUGUCUUGGUUUUAGGCUGUAGGCAUAAGGGUCUAGAGAUAAGAGUCAGGGGUCUAGAGUUCAGUGCCCAGGGUCAAGGCUCUAGUGUCUAAGGUCCAGUGUCUAGGGUUUAGGCUGUAGGCUUACGGGUCUGGAGUCAAGGGUCGAGGGUCUGGAGUUCCGUGCCCAGGGUCAAGGGUCUAGCAUCUAGGGUUUAGUAUCCAGGAUUAAUGGUCCAGUGUCCAGUAUCUAGUGUUUGUGAUGUAGGCUUAAGGGUCUAAGGCCUGGAGUUCAGUGCCCAUUGUCAAGGGUCUAGUGUCUAGGUUUUAGUAUCUAGGAUUAAGGGUCCAGUGUCCAGGGUUUAGGCUGUAGGCUUAAGGGUCUAGGGUUAAGGGUUUCGAGUCUGGAAUUAAGUGACCAGGGUCAACGGUCCAGUGUCAAUGGUCCAGUUUCUAGGGUGUAGUGUCUAGGGUUUAGGCCGUAGGCUUAAGGGUCUAGAGUUACGCGUCUAGGGUCUGGAGUUAAGUGCCCAGAGUCAAGGGUCCAGCGUCUAGGGUUUAGUAUUUACGAUUAAUGGUGCAGUGUCCAGUGUCUACGGUUUAUUAUGUAGGCUCAAGGGCCUAGGGUUAAGGGUUUCAAGUCUGGAGUAAAGUGACCAGGGUCAACAGUCCAGUGUCUAGGGUGUACUGUCUAGGGUUUAGAUCAUAGGCUUAAGGGUCUAUCUAGAGUUAGGCGGCGGGGUCUGGAGUUCUGUGCCCAGAGUCAAAGGGUCUAGCGUCUACGGUUUAGUAUCUAGGAUUAUGGGUCUAGGGUCCAGUGUCUAGUGUCCAAUGUCUAGAGUCUAGUGCUUAGGUUUUAGGCUGUAGGCUUAAGGGUUUAGAGUCAAGGGUCGAGGGUCUGGAGUGAAGUGCCCAGGGUCAAGGGUCCAGUGUGGGUAGUUAGGGUCUGGCGGCCGGAAGAUCUCGUGCUGUACAGAAAGAUAAGGCCCCUCUCCUGAUAGCCAAUAGCGUAUGUAAGCAGAUGGAAGUGACGUCAGAAACCUAGCUUAUAUAACGCCGCGAUACACACUAAUAAACGCCAU